rnacentral:tRNA from 1 species
GUUCCUGUAGCUUACAACCAAAGCAUGGCACUGAAGAUGCCAAGACGGCUAAUACACCAUACCCAGGGACA